UCCCCUGCAUCGGCAGGCGGACUCUCAACCACUGCGCCACCAGGGAAGCCCUGGGCCACGGUUUUAACUUGGAGGGUGCAGGCGGGCUUUAUUUUGAUUGUUCUUUGACAUUGAUGGAAACACCCACACGGAGCAGAGCCGGCCCUUCCCCUUCUUCUCGCCUCCCUGCGGGCUGCAGGGUUUAACUGCCCUUUCAUAAUCAGAGAUAAAUGUGUGCGGUUAUAACGCUCUAACUACUGAAGGGCCAAGGUCAAGGAAUUUCCUGUUGUAGCCGACUCACACCUGUAUUGGGACAGCUACACUUCUAAGAUUUUUAUCUCAUCUUAUUUGCUAAGAGAAGGAUGAAAAGCCAGAUUCCAGGCGGCAUCAAAAGCAAGGAGUACCCACUCUGCCCUCGAUUCCAGUCAGGUUAAAAAUAAAGCCCAGUAACAU